GCAUGAUCCAGGCAGAGCGCAUUUUACUUCAGCAUGCAUUGAUGGAUCCUCUCAAUGAACGAUUUGUUUUUCUUUCAGACAGUUGCAUACCUUUAUACAACUUCAGCUACACAUAUGACUACAUAAUGUCUACGCCAAAUAGUUUUGUUGACAGCUUUGCUGAUACAAAAGAAGGCCGCUAUAACCCCAAAAUGCAUCCAAUUAUUCCUGUUCAAAGCUGGAGGAAAGGAUCUCAGUGGGCUGUUCUAAACAGAAAGCAUGCAGAUAUUGUAGUGAAGGAUGAAAUAUUAUUUCCUAUGUUUCAGUUGCACUGCAAGAAAAAACCGCUACCUGAAUUUUGGCGGGAUCAGUAUGUGCCUCCAGAUACAUCCAAGAUUCAUAAUUGUAUACCUGAUGAACACUAUGUCCAAACUCUGCUUGCUCAUGAAGGGCUUGAAGGUGAAAUUACACGGAGGACACUGACUCACACUGCAUGGCUUAUUUUAUCCUCCAAGGAGCGUGAACGAAAAGGAUGGCAUCCUGUUACCUAUAAAUUAGCCGAUGCUACUCCCAUGUUAAUCCAAUCUAUCAAGGACAUAGACAAUAUAAAUUAUGAGACAGAACACCGGAGAGAGUG
rnacentral:misc_RNA from 1 species